CGCACGUUAUGGAGGCUUAACACAGAAUAUAAAGUAAGAUAAUAAAGUUUUGUCAAAAUUGCAAAAAAAAAAAAAUAAAAAUUCUCACAUUAUAAGUCACGUAUAAACAGACAGCUGAACAUGACUAAAUCGACUCAGCUCGACUUGGGUGUUACAAGUUUUGUGGCAAUAUACACUGUCUAGGUACAAAAAGACAGCGAUGAAGCAGUAAUUGAGGUGUUUUCAACUUGGAGUUUAACUUCGGACUUUGGCUCAGCACAAUUACUUAAAAUAUUCUUCUCGACCAAAAAAUGGAAUUAAUUUGCGGGUAUUUUCGCGCGAUUAUUUUUUUACAACAUUCGACGUGGAUUAAAUCAUCAAUUGUGCAUAGAUGAGCUUCGUUCAAUUUUUGACGAUGAGCCUCCAUCAAGCACCAGUGUUUAUCGAUAGUGUCGUGAAUUCAAUCGAGGUCGUAGAUCAUAAUUUCGGGAAGGUCGUCCUAAAUCAGCUAUGGAAACUAUUGAUGCUGUACGCAAACUGAUAUUGCAAAAUCGUCAUGUGACCUAUCGUGAGAUUGACAAAACGUUAGUGGGAAUAGUAUAGAUUCAAUAUCGUAUGAACAUUUGACUGCAAAAAAUAUUUGUUCACGUUGGAACCCAAACAAUUUGUCGAUCGCUCAAAAAAAGACUCAUGUGGAUUGGUCGAGAGAAGUACUAAAAACAUAUGACAGCGGUGCUUCGAAACACGUCUAUGACAUCGUGACAGGUAAUGAAUUGUGGAUUUAUGUAUGUGUAUGCGCCCGAAAGUAAAGAGCAGUCGACUGUAUGUGUGUUUCAAGCUGAGCCUAAUCCAACAAAUGUUGUUCUUGCACUUCCAAGCCAAUGGUUACCCCUUUUUUUUUUGGAAAAACUGGCCAUUUCGCAAACAUAUCACUGGUGCAACGCAGAACAGUAAAUGCUGAGUGGUAUACAACAAUUUGUUUGCCAGUUGUCUUACAAGAAAUCAGGAAAACCAACCGUCGAUGAUGAAUUGCUUUUCACCACGACAAAUCUAGCUCUCACACAUCGAUUGAGACAACUGCAUUUUUGAGCACAUAAAACAUCGAUAUGAUAAGUUAUCCUCCGUAUAGUCGUAUAGUCCGGACUUCUUUUUAUUCCCGUUCGUAAAAAAUAAAAUUAUAGCUCAACGUUUUUAAGUACACGAACAGGUCGUUGAUGUGUAUAGAACUCAUGUUUUAGAGAUACUUCGAUCAGAGUGGCUAAAGUGCUUCGAAAGCAAUUUUCGUUGAUUAAAAUUUGUUUUUGUUCUCGAAUCACACAAUAUAAAAGUCAUCCUACAAUAUUGUGUUUUGGUUUGGUGGACCGCUGACAGCAACAUCUCAUACAGAAAACCGUUGGAGAGGGAGAGGAUAGAGCGACUGACUGUUCACUGUUACUCAGCUCAUCACCAAACAACAUAGCAGUGGAAAAGUCUGUAGCAAAAUCAGCUGCAAAAAUGGCGGCGGCCAUAGCUCAAGCUCAAUAAGCAGGGAGGGAUACAAACGCAUCAAAACUGGCUAAAGGAGUAGGAGCCGGAAUUUAUUGCUUGGAGCUGGAUCUUAGGCGACCCUACAAGCUUCCCGAAUACUGCAGUAUCUUCCGGGGGGAUGCCUUUGCCGUCAGGAAAGCUGCUGGAAUAGGAAACAAAGCAGGCAACAAUAUAGAAAAAAAAAUAUAGAGGUCUAUAACCAGACGGCAAUCAAGACAAUAUAUGUAUACUGGGUUCCAGGCCACAAAUGUAUUCCGGAAAAUGAAAUAGCUGAUGAGAUUGACAAAAGUGCCAUGCGGCUUGCUACCGAACAAAUACAGGAAAUCCGAAAGACGUUAAAAAAAAUAUAUGUGACCUCGCACAUAGAAACCCGGCUAGUAUGUCAAAAUGUCGAUUAUCGGUUUUCAACGAGAAUGUACGUAGAACUAUAGGCAGCAACCCGAGAGCUUGUUGGUUUGUCUCGGAAACGCUUCAGAGUGAGUGAAAAUGAUGUUUUAGUAACGAACAAGAAGGAAGAGGGAGAGAGAACACGUGCUUCACAUCUUUCAACGCCUCUCAUGAAAAAUCCUGUUUUGACACACUAGACGGGUUUCUAUGUGCGGGGUCACAUAUAUGUAUAUAUACGAGUACAAAGAAACUUCCGAAAAGGCUGACAGACGAAUCAGGGCGAGAAGGACCGCAUUAAAAACAUGCAGGAUUGCCAAAAUCAAGUGCAAGAACCCCGAAGAAAAACAAUUAUGUGUUUUACUCACUCGGUCUUCAAAGAACCGAAGGAUAGUUGUUGGCCUAAUGCAGUGGUCGACAUGAGAGGCACUGCGACUCUGUGAGUGAGCACGAAAAUAACCGAAACGCACUGAGAACUGUGUACCCCUUACAUUUUGCGAAUAUUUUCAUUCUUUCGUGAACAAGCUCCAUGCUUUUUUAUUAAUUUGAAAUAUAUUACGAUUAAAAUGAUUAUAUUGGACCCUCAAGACCUUAACUAAAAUAUAACCUGAAA